UAUCCAUGGUGUGGGCACUGCAAUAGAAGUGAUUUGAAGCAAUUUCAUGCUUUAUGAAAUGAUUCAAUAUCCAUUUGAUAAAAAUUAGAAAUUCCAGCUCUUAAUUG